rnacentral:rRNA from 1 species
UUGCUCUUCAACGAGGAAUGCCUAGUAAGCGCAUGUCAUCAGCAUGCGUUGAUUACGUCCCUGCCCUUUGUACACACCGCCCGUCGCUACUACCGAUUGAAUGGCUCAGUGANGCCUUCGGACUGGCUCGGAGAGGUUGGCAACGACCACUCCGAGCCGGAAAGUUCGUCAAACUCGGUCAUUUAGAGGAAGUAAAAGUCGUAACAAGGUUUCCGUAGGUGAACCUGCGGAAGGAUCAUUACCUAGAGUUGUAGGCUUUGCCUGCUAUCUCUUACCCAUGUCUUUUAAGUACCUUACGUUUCCUCGGCGGGUCCGCCCGCCGAUUGGACAAUUUAAACCAUUUGCAGUUGCAAUCAGCGUCUGAAAAAACUUAAUAGUUACAACUUUCAACAACGGAUCUCUUGGUUCUGGCAUCGAUGAAGAACGCAGCGAAAUGCGAUAAGUAAUGCGAAUUGCAGAAUUUCCGUGAGUCAUCGAAUCUUUGAACGCACAUUGCGCCCUUUGGUAUUCCGAAGGGCAUGCCUGUUCGAGCGUCAUUAUCCCCCCCUCAAACCUCGUGUUUGGCGUUGGACCCGUGUUGGUUGGCGACGAUCAACUGGUCCCAAAGACAAUGACGGUUCCCGCUGGGACCCUUGGUGCAACGAGCUUCUUUCGAGAGCACGCAUCGGGUGGGAUCCAGCGGGCCGGUCUCCUUAAAAGUUUUUUCUAAAGGUUGACCUCGGAUCAGGUAGGAAUACCCGCUGAACUUAAGCAUAUCAAUAAGCGGAGGA